GGGCCACUUCAGUUCAUUCGACCUCAGGGACAAGGCCCAUUACGAAGUACACAGGGCCGGGGCUGUGCCGGAUUCAGGUGUUAACGUUGCUGCGGGGCCACUACCUACUCCUUCCACGAGCAGCCAGUUUCGCUUCUCCAGGUUGGCUAGUUCAGCAAGCCCCUCAGUGCAACCCAGGGCUCAAUCUCUGAAAUACUUUAGAAGGACUGUCAGUCUGGGAGAGGUUCAGAGUGGAAAGCUUGUGAACAGCAGAAUGGUGGUUGUAAGAUUUACUUAGCAGGAGGCCAGUGUCCCUUCCAUGAUUGCCAAAGUAAAAGAUGCCUUAGGAAGCAAUGAACAACUCAUCCUGACAGACCACAAUGGAGUGGAAAUAUUGGACUCAGAAGGAACAAGAGGCACCUUUUAUUGGAAGCAGAACUCGCGAAAAAUCAUGGCUGUACCAGAGGUUGAUUUCCAAGCUGUGCAACAAAAGAGGCGAAGAAUCUCUGAAUAAUCUCCAACCGCGUGGAAGCAGUGUCACUCAGUUCUACAUUAUGGAUCCAUCGUUUGUGCUUUUCAGCGCCGCCAAAAGAGUGACGCUGAGAGAGGAGGACAUGACGAUGGAAAAGAUUUCUAAAAUAUUUCAGGUAACCAGCCAGAGCCUGUACCUCACUGACGAUACCAAUGUGGCAGUUUUCCCUGGAGCAGAGGGCCACUUCAGUUCAUUCGACCUCAGGGACAAGGCCCAUUACGAAGUACACAGGGCCGGGGCUGUGCCGGAUUCAGGUGUUAACGUUGCUGCGGGGCCACUACCUACUCCUUCCACGAGCAGCCAGUUUCGCUUCUCCAGGUUGGCUAGUUCAGCAAGCCCCUCAGUGCAACCCAGGGCUCAAUCUCUGAAAUACUUUAGAAGGACUGUCAGUCUGGGAGAGGUUCAGAGUGGAAAGCUUGUGAACAGCAGAAUGGUGGUUGUAAGAUUUACUUAGCAGGAGGCCAGUGUCCCUUCCAUGAUUGCCAAAGUAAAAGAUGCCUUAGGAAGCAAUGAACAACUCAUCCUGACAGACCACAAUGGAGUGGAAAUAUUGGACUCAGAAGGAACAAGAGGCACCUUUUAUUGGAAGCAGAACUCGCGAAAAAUCAUGGCUGUACCAGAGGUUGAUUUCCAAGCUGUGCAACAAAAGAGGCGAAGAAUCUCUGAAUAAUCUCCAACCGCGUGGAAGCAGUGUCACUCAGUUCUACAUUAUGGAUCCAUCGUUUGUGCUUUUCAGCGCCGCCAAAAGAGUGACGCUGAGAGAGGAGGACAUGACGAUGGAAAAGAUUUCUAAAAUAUUUCAGGUAACCAGCCAGAGCCUGUACCUCACUGACGAUACCAAUGUGGCAGUUUUCCCUGGAGCAGAGGGCCACUUCAGUUCAUUCGACCUCAGGGACAAGGCCCAUUACGAAGUACACAGGGCCGGGGCUGUGCCGGAUUCAGGUGUUAACGUUGCUGCGGGGCCACUACCUACUCCUUCCACGAGCAGCCAGUUUCGCUUCUCCAGGUUGGCUAGUUCAGCAAGCCCCUCAGUGCAACCCAGGGCUCAAUCUCUGAAAUACUUUAGAAGGACUGUCAGUCUGGGAGAGGUUCAGAGUGGAAAGCUUGUGAACAGCAGAAUGGUGGUUGUAAGAUUUACUUAGCAGGAGGCCAGUGUCCCUUCCAUGAUUGCCAAAGUAAAAGAUGCCUUAGGAAGCAAUGAACAACUCAUCCUGACAGACCACAAUGGAGUGGAAAUAUUGGACUCAGAAGGAACAAGAGGCACCUUUUAUUGGAAGCAGAACUCGCGAAAAAUCAUGGCUGUACCAGAGGUUGAUUUCCAAGCUGUGCAACAAAAGAGGCGAAGAAUCUCUGAAUAAUCUCCAACCGCGUGGAAGCAGUGUCACUCAGUUCUACAUUAUGGAUCCAUCGUUUGUGCUUUUCAGCGCCGCCAAAAGAGUGACGCUGAGAGAGGAGGACAUGACGAUGGAAAAGAUUUCUAAAAUAUUUCAGGUAACCAGCCAGAGCCUGUACCUCACUGACGAUACCAAUGUGGCAGUUUUCCCUGGAGCAGAGGGCCACUUCAGUUCAUUCGACCUCAGGGACAAGGCCCAUUACGAAGUACACAGGGCCGGGGCUGUGCCGGAUUCAGGUGUUAACGUUGCUGCGGGGCCACUACCUACUCCUUCCACGAGCAGCCAGUUUCGCUUCUCCAGGUUGGCUAGUUCAGCAAGCCCCUCAGUGCAACCCAGGGCUCAAUCUCUGAAAUACUUUAGAAGGACUGUCAGUCUGGGAGAGGUUCAGAGUGGAAAGCUUGUGAACAGCAGAAUGGUGGUUGUAAGAUUUACUUAGCAGGAGGCCAGUGUCCCUUCCAUGAUUGCCAAAGUAAAAGAUGCCUUAGGAAGCAAUGAACAACUCAUCCUGACAGACCACAAUGGAGUGGAAAUAUUGGACUCAGAAGGAACAAGAGGCACCUUUUAUUGGAAGCAGAACUCGCGAAAAAUCAUGGCUGUACCAGAGGUUGAUUUCCAAGCUGUGCAACAAAAGAGGCGAAGAAUCUCUGAAUAAUCUCCAACCGCGUGGAAGCAGUGUCACUCAGUUCUACAUUAUGGAUCCAUCGUUUGUGCUUUUCAGCGCCGCCAAAAGAGUGACGCUGAGAGAGGAGGACAUGACGAUGGAAAAGAUUUCUAAAAUAUUUCAGGUAACCAGCCAGAGCCUGUACCUCACUGACGAUACCAAUGUGGCAGUUUUCCCUGGAGCAGAGGGCCACUUCAGUUCAUUCGACCUCAGGGACAAGGCCCAUUACGAAGUACACAGGGCCGGGGCUGUGCCGGAUUCAGGUGUUAACGUUGCUGCGGGGCCACUACCUACUCCUUCCACGAGCAGCCAGUUUCGCUUCUCCAGGUUGGCUAGUUCAGCAAGCCCCUCAGUGCAACCCAGGGCUCAAUCUCUGAAAUACUUUAGAAGGACUGUCAGUCUGGGAGAGGUUCAGAGUGGAAAGCUUGUGAACAGCAGAAUGGUGGUUGUAAGAUUUACUUAGCAGGAGGCCAGUGUCCCUUCCAUGAUUGCCAAAGUAAAAGAUGCCUUAGGAAGCAAUGAACAACUCAUCCUGACAGACCACAAUGGAGUGGAAAUAUUGGACUCAGAAGGAACAAGAGGCACCUUUUAUUGGAAGCAGAACUCGCGAAAAAUCAUGGCUGUACCAGAGGUUGAUUUCCAAGCUGUGCAACAAAAGAGGCGAAGAAUCUCACGCAGAGAUGAGGAGGGUGGACUGGACAGUGUGUUCGAGAAGAUCGAGGAGCUUGUCCUGGCUGCUCAGGGUUUGUCUGAGGUGACAACUGCCAUUCAGGGACUCUCUGACUUGGUCCAUCGAAACAGGAACACAACAUUGGUAUUGACUGAUGAACAGUCCAGGAAUGUUAGGGAUACAUUCACUUGUCUGGUUUGCAGAGAAUUUUUUUGGCGGGGCUAAAACGGGGAUUCGAUGACGCACUGGAGCCCCUGAGCUCCUGGACACGCCCCUACUACGGCUGUAGACAGAGAAAGGAAUUUGUUAAUUCU